rnacentral:rRNA from 1 species
AUUGAACGCUGGCGGCAGGCUUAACACAUGCAAGUCGAGCGGAGAUGAGGUGCUUGCACCUUAUCUUAGCGGCGGACGGGUGAGUAAUGCUUAGGAAUCUGCCUAUUAGUGGGGGACAACAUUCCGAAAGGAAUGCUAAUACCGCAUACGCCCUACGGGGGAAAGCAGGGGAUCUUCGGACCUUGCGCUAAUAGAUGAGCCUAAGUCGGAUUAGCUAGUUGGUGGGGUAAAGGCCUACCAAGGCGACGAUCUGUAGCGGGUCUGAGAGGAUGAUCCGCCACACUGGGACUGAGACACGGCCCAGACUCCUACGGGAGGCAGCAGUGGGGAAUAUUGGACAAUGGGCGGAAGCCUGAUCCAGCCAUGCCGCGUGUGUGAAGAAGGCCUUUUGGUUGUAAAGCACUUUAAGCGAGGAGGAGGCUACUUGGAUUAAUACUCUAGGAUAGUGGACGUUACUCGCGGAAUAAGCACCGGCUAACUCUGUGCCAACAGCCGCCGUAAAAC